rnacentral:rRNA from 1 species
GCGAGGCCGAAAGGCGUAGUCGAUGGGAAACGGGUUAAUAUUCCCGUACUUGGUGUUACUGCGAAGGGGGGACGGAGAAGGCUAUGUUGGCCGGGCGACGGUUGUCCCGGUUUAAGCGUGUAGGCUGGUUUUCCAGGCAAAUCCGGAAAAUCAAGGCUGAGGCGUGAUGACGAGGCACUACGGUGCUGAAGCAACAAAUGCCCUGCUUCCAGGAAAAGCCUCUAAGCAUCAGGUAACAUCAAAUCGUACCCCAAACCGACACAGGUGGUCAGGUAGAGAAUACCAAGGCGCUUGAGAGAACUCGGGUGAAGGAACUAGGCAAAAUGGUGCCGUAACUUCGGGAGAAGGCACGCUGACACGUAGGUGAAGUGAUUUACUCAUGGAGCUGAAGUCAGUCGAAGAUACCAGCUGGCUGCAACUGUUUAUUAAAAACACAGCACUGUGCAAACACGAAAGUGGACGUAUACGGUGUGACGCCUGCCCGGUGCCGGAAGGUUAAUUGAUGGGGUCAGCGCAAGCGAAGCUCCUGAUCGAAGCCCCGGUAAACGGCGGCCGUAACUAUAACGGUCCUAAGGUAGCGAAAUUCCUUGUCGGGUAAGUUCCGACCUGCACGAAUGGCGUAAUGAUGGCCAGGCUGUCUCCACCCGAGACUCAGUGAAAUUGAACUCGCUGUGAAGAUGCAGUGUACCCGCGGCAAGACGGAAAGACCCCGUGAACCUUUACUAUAGCUUGACACUGAACAUUGAGCCUUGAUGUGUAGGAUAGGUGGGAGGCUUUGAAGUGUGGACGCCAGUCUGCAUGGAGCCGACCUUGAAAUACCACCCUUUAAUGUUUGAUGUUCUAACGUGGACCCGUUACCCGGGUUGCGGACAGUGUCUGGUGGGUAGUUUGACUGGGGCGGUCUCCUCCUAAAGAGUAACGGAGGAGCACGAAGGUUGGCUAAUCCUGGUCGGACAUCAGGAGGUUAGUGCAAUGGCAUAAGCCAGCUUGACUGCGAGCGUGACGGCGCGAGCAGGUGCGAAAGCAGGUCAUAGUGAUCCGGUGGUUCUGAAUGGAAGGGCCAUCGCUCAACGGAUAAAAGGUACUCCGGGGAUAACAGGCUGAUACCGCCCAAGAGUUCAUAUCGACGGCGGUGUUUGGCACCUCGAUGUCGGCUCAUCACAUCCUGGGGCUGAAGUAGGUCCCAAGGGUAUGGCUGUUCGCCAUUUAAAGUGGUACGCGAGCUGGGUUUAGAACGUCGUGAGACAGUUCGGUCCCUAUCUGCCGUGGGCGCUGGAGAACUGAGGGGGGCUGCUCCUAGUACGAGAGGACCGGAGUGGACGCAUCACUGGUGUUCGGGUUGUCAUGCCAAUGGCACUGCCCGGUAGCUAAAUGCGGAAGAGAUAAGUGCUGAAAGCAUCUAAGCACGAAACUUGCCCCGA